rnacentral:rRNA from 1 species
GAUGAACGCUGGCGGCGUGCCUAAUACAUGCCAGUCGAGCGAACAGAUGAGGAGCUUGCUCCUCUGUAGUUAGCGACGGACGGGUGAGUAACACGUGGAUACCCUACCUAUCAGACUGGGAUAACUUAGGGUAACCGGAGCUAAUACCGGCCAAUAUAUUGAACCGUAUGGUUCAAUAGUGAAAGCCGGUUUUUGUGUCACUUAUAGAUGGAUCAGUGCCGCAUGAGGUAGUUGGUAAGGUAAUGGUUUACCAAGGCAACCAUGCGUACCCGACCUGAGAGGGAGAUUGACUACACGGGAACUGAGACACGGUCCAGACUCCGGCGGGAGGCAGCAGUAGGGAAUCUUACGCAAUGGGCGAGAGCUGGACGUAGCACAGCGGCGGGAGUGAUGAAGGACUUCGGACCGGUAAGCUCAGUUAGUAGUGAAGAUCAAAUGUGUAAGUAACGAUGCACGUCUUGACGGUACCUAAUCAGAAAGCCACGGCUAACUACGUG